rfam:Chelonia mydas contig261353, whole genome shotgun sequence.
UCAAAGGCUGUUUUCAGAGCCACCCACAAGAUCAGAAAAGAGCUA